rnacentral:rRNA from 1 species
GAGUGAAACUCAAAGGAAUUGACGGGGACCCGCACAAGUAGCGGAGCAUGUGGUUUAAUUCGAAGCAACGCGAAGAACCUUACCUAAGCUUGACAUCCCAAUGACAUCUCCUUAAUCGGAGAGUUCCCUUCGGGGACAUUGGUGACAGGUGGUGCAUGGUUGUCGUCAGCUCGUGUCGUGAGAUGUUGGGUUAAGUCCCGCAACGAGCGCAACCCUUAUCUUUAGUUGCCAGCAUUAAGUUGGGCACUCUAGAGAGACUGCCAGGGAUAACCUGGAGGAAGGUGGGGAUGACGUCAAAUCAUCAUGCCCCUUAUGCUUAGGGCUACACACGUGCUACAAUGGGUAGUACAGAGGGUUGC